GGUCCCAUUCUGUGGCUUGCUAAUGAUGUCUGAUUGCAUUUGUCCUUUCUGUUCACUACAGAAGGAAAUCACUGCCCACUCUUCUGCCCGUCCCUUUCAGCAGGGAUCGCACAUGGCCAAACACCUUCAUGGUGGUGUUGACCUAUAAGGUCCCAUUCUGUGGCUUGCUAAUGAUGUCUGAUUGCAUUUGUUCUUUCUGUUCACUACAGAAGGAAAUCACUGCCCACUCUUCUGCCCGUCCCUUUCAGCAGGGAACGCACAUGGCCAAACACCUUCAUGGUGGUGUUGACCUAUAAGCUCCCAUUCUGUGGCUUGCUAAUGAUGUCUGAUUGCAUUUGUCCUUUUUGUUCACUACAGAACGAAGUCACUGCCCACUCUUCUGCCCUUCCCUUUCAGCAGGGAAUGCCCAUGGCCAAACACCUUUAUUUUUGAGCAGUCAAACUGUAAAACUGUAAUGGCCACAGCCACAUACCUUGAAUGUUAGUGGGCAUUAACUGGACAUGUCUAGUUCCAUUUAAAUAAGAUCCUAAUCUCAGACCCUUUUGCAGUACAGCAAGGAUCACUCAUCCCUUGGCUUCUCCAUCUUCCUGGGUAUAGGAUAAGGAUAUUCCGUGCUUUACACUCUCUUUAAUUUCCAGGAGUGUCCAUUACUUAAUAUUACUUAGUAAUGUCUUAAUAUUUGUAUAAAGAGUGUGGUUUUAGUUGACUGUGCUAUGUCCCUUGAACAUUAAUGUAAAUAAUAGGGACAUGAUUCUUUGACUAUAAUGAAAAUAUCUGGGCAGUUAAUGUGCAAAAUUGCGGUUAUCCAGAACCUUAUUACUGUUAGGACCAUUGUAUCUCUUGCACUACUGCAAAGGAUACUGUUUAUCUCACAAGGUCCCUGCUAGUGGGCCAUUAAUAUAUACAGUGGAACUUUUCAUUCGUCUUUGUCAGUAAACAAAGGUCAUAUUCCUUCACCUUUCACUUGCAGUACAUCGGAGUAUCCUGAUCAAGCAAGGUUGCCUUCUUUGGACUGUUAGUGUGUGGCAUGUAUUAUA